rnacentral:rRNA from 1 species
AUGAACGCUGGCGGCGUGCCUAAUACAUGCAAGUCGAGCGAACAGACGAGGAGCUUGCUCCUCUGACGUUAGCGGCGGACGGGUGAGUAACACGUGGAUAACCUACCUAUAAGACUGGGAUAACUUCGGGAAACCGGAGCUAAUACCGGAUAAUAUAUUGAACCGCAUGGUUCAAUAGUGAAAGACGGUUUUGCUGUGACUUAUAGAUGGAUCCGCGCCGCAUUAGCUAGUUGGUAAGGUAACGGCUUACCAAGGCAACGAUGCGUAGCCGACCUGAGAGGGUGAUCGGCCACACUGGAACUGAGACACGGUCCAGACUCCUACGGGAGGCAGCAGUAGGGAAUCUUCCGCAAUGGGCGAAAGCUUGACGGAGCAACGCCGCGUGAGUGAUGAAGGUCUUCGGAUCGUAAAACUCUGUUAUUAGGGAAGAACAAAUGUGUAAGUAACUAUACACGUCUUGACGGUACCUAAUCAGAAAGCCACGGCUAACUACGUG